CGCGCCGCCACCCCUCUCCCCUCUCUCUUUUCUCUGUGAAUGAAACCAAGGGGAAAAGUCCCACAGUACCUUCUCCACCCCACCAUGGCGCUGCCGCUCCAAACUACCCCUCGCCGAGCUGAGACCACCGGCGGAUGCGCCUCAUCAUCCUCUUCAUCCAUGUGCAAGGAAUCGGCCCGGGGCGCCCUGUACUGACGACACGGUCGCGGAUUCUCCUCUUCGGCUGCCACGUUCCGGCGACGAUUCCGGCCGCCGUGGUUCCCCUCCGACGACCCCGACCACACCAACGUCUUCGUGGUCCUCGCCGGCGGCGUCCCUCCGGUGAUCCCCUGGACUCCGCUACGCCCCCAUCACCUUCCCCGCGUGGAGCCGCACCCCCGACGCCCACUCCCCCGCCUCAGUUAGCCCUGAGUCGCCGGAUCGAUCUCCGGUUUGAUCUCCCGCCAUGGUUUUCUGCCCGAGCUCUGCCUCUGGGUGUGUUUUCUUGCAGCGUGAUGUUCUCUAAUCACAAAGCAAUCAGCAGCCUAGUGAUCCGGACUGAGCCUUAGCCCGCUUGCGCAACAGCUCCUUCGUCGCCCAGCGUGCAGCAGGCCACCAUCCGCCGCUCAGCAUUUGCUUCUUUCCGGAUAGGAUCACGAAGUGUUGAUGUGAGAUACGGCGAGUUCUUCGACAAGUGCGUCUGCAGCUUUUCACAGGCGAGCCCUCUCUCUUCACCUAUUUUACUCUCUCCCUCGCACUGCUAUCCUUAUGUUGCGAUUCUUUAUCGAGUCACGUGUCCUAUUCCACUUGUUUACUAUAAUAAUCCUAUAUGUAUCCUUCCUUACCAUAGCCGUUGCUUGAUGUUUGAGCCUUGCGAGUCAUAGGCGUGUUUAGGCUCUGUUGUUUAUCUCGAUCUGUUAUCGGGAUAUGAUGGGUUGUUGGGAGGUUAUCACAUGCUAUAUCAGUUGUUGGAGAUACACAUGCUUUUCUUAAUUGUUAACAACUAAAAUUGUAAGCAGAGGCAUCUGUGAGCCCCUUUGCGAAAGCAUCAGAACUUUGACUUGCUAAUGUCCCCUAGGACCCGAGUUCUUGUUAUCUGUUCCGAGAUUGAGCGCUCUACCCAUGCGUGGGGACGAUUAUUGGGACCCCCCUCACCCAUUACCUUUUCUCAAGUCAGUUGAAAAGGGGGCCACAACCUUGGUUUUAUUUGGCGCAUGCAUGUUUAUAUAUUGUUGCCUUCGGGUGUUUACUUCCUGUUGCCUUCGGGUGUUUAUAUUCUGUACAGUACCCCGCGGAACGUUUAGCGAAGCGUGUGGUUUGCACGCCUAGCCGUUAACGCAAACCCUGAGUCCGCUUCGGAGUACGGCCGGACUUCGUUACGGGUAGCUUAGUCGGGUGGCCCCCCUAGACUUUCUUGUUGAACUGGGAACGGUCUUGUUGUGAGACAUCCACCUGUCGUAAGUGGGUCGAGCAUGCGUAUGGUUACAUUUGGGCAAACCCUGCAGGGUGUACAUCUUAUCGAUAAGCCGUGUCCGCGGUUAUGGACGACUUGGAAUUGUAUAGCUUGAUCAUAGAACAACUUACACCUUAUACUUGUUGUUAAUAAUCUGAUUAUAACUUGCGUAGUAAUAUAGCAUUACUAUAACCGAUACCUAAUAAAAUUUGUCCACCGUUGAGUGCCUUUUACAUUGCCUCUUCGCAAUUGUUGGAGGGGAUAUGUGUAAUCGGCUGGGUUAUGUUUGUGUAGUAUUUUAUUUGUUACCUUGUGCGCUCUCUUAUCUUAUCUGAUUAGACGGAUGUUGUAGCGUGUCUCUAUUGGUUAUAGUUUUGCUGCCGCUAAACCCACCAUAUAGCCCCUGGCGAUAUAUAUAUUAUACUCGCCCGGCGAGCAUAGCCAUUUCUAGUCUCGCUAAGUACGUGCCGGAGUUCGUUCCUUGGUACUUACUCUCGCCUUUUCCCCUUUCUCUUUUGCUUCCUCCCUCUUGUCGGCAACCGAUGGCCCGACUUUGACAGGUACAAGAUGACGGCGUUAGCAAGGUUACCCUUCCGGCUUGGCCUGGGCAGGGUUAUGGACGCCACUGGUUAUCUUCAGGACUCUUAGUCCAAUUUGUAUCUUGUCCGUACUCGGACGUAUUUGAUCUGCUGUAUGAUUUGGAUCUUUGUAUUGUAUAUUUGUAUCUUGACUCGUUGGAGUCAUUGUUGUAAUAUAUGUAUCUUGUGGGCUC